rnacentral:rRNA from 1 species
AUGUCUCUGCCUUCAAUGGUUUGGUUCAUGGGUGGUAUGGGGUUCCGCGAUAUUGAGCUAUUUAAUUUAGCGCUUCUGGCUCGCCAGGCAUGGCGCCUUUUGCAAGAACCCAACUCUCUUAGUGCGCGGAUUUUGAAGGCUGUGUACUACCCUACUUAUUCAGUUUUGCAAGCAGAAUUGGGAAACUACCCAUCGCAAGUGUGGCGGUCUGUUAUUGAAGGCAGAGACAUGCUCAAGCUUGGUCUUAUAAAGCGUAUUGGCGCAGGUGAAGAUACGGACAUCUGGUCUUAUGAAGCUGGUUUUCGUUCACCUUUCUUGGAGCCCCACCAAAACUUGUGA